CCCGUCGUACUGCCAUGGU
rnacentral:misc_RNA from 1 species